AGUGUGGCUCAGUCGGUAGAGCAGUUGAUUCGUAAUCACCAGGUCGCCGGUUCGAAUCCGGCCACU
rnacentral:tRNA from 1 species